ensembl:lncRNA
GAAGCAGACGAGGACACUUGCACACCGUCUGUGACCACAAGUGCCAGCAGCGAUGAUGUCAGCGGCGGUUGGAGCUACGAGUGGAAUCUGGUCCCCAGUCUGAGUCCCGAGUUGGAACUUAACACCUGUGACAGCGACAUAGAAGCCAGGUGACUCUAUCCUGUAUCCUGAUUUCAGAAACCACUUUUUUUAAAAACUAAAACACAUCGACUGACGGCUGAGCACCAGAAGUGUUUCAGCUCUUAAUAACACCGCUUAUCUUUCAACGAGUUAGUUAGUUUUAAUGUUACAUGCAAUGAAUAAGUCCUCAAUAUCUGUAUUCAAAAGCUGUUCCUGUGAUUUUACAGGCCGGACAACUUGAUAACUUCUUUGUGAUAUUUACCAGCGUUACAAGAUCCAUCCCUCGUAGUAAUCGUAGGCCCCUUCUUCCUGGUCACCAAUCCAACACAUUUUACAACUGACAACUCCAUCUCAUGACCUUCAACUGCCCUCCAGCUCUCCAAAUCGGUGGGACUGUCCCGAGGGGAGCAGUUCCCUCAGCUCAGAGCGCCACAGUGUGGCCCAAAGAGAUAUGACCCGGCUGGACCCAUCUGAAGCCGAAUACUCCUUUAUGGACGAGAGGAGGGCCAGAGACAGGUCCCACCGGACAUCAGGUAAUAGACAAAUACACGCUGACUCAACAUUCUCCACCACUACUCUCUGACGGACACAUACUAAGGAAACAAACUGUGUGAUCUGCAGAGUCCCGAGGAGACAGGGAACCAGAGAGCGGCUACUUCUCUCCGGACCGAAGGGGUGAUGGUGAGCGGUCGAUGGAGGAGGUCAACAAGCGGUCGUAUCGUUACUACGAGCGCGGGCAUCCUCUUCCCAGUAACUACGUCGCCGAGCCAAAAGCCUGCGUCCCCUACAGGAACGUCAACCUCGGCACGCCCUCCGAGAGGAGGAAUCCAGAGACGUACAUGCAGGAGGUUUGGAGAAGUGAAUCCCCCGAGAGGUACACGUACCACUCCAACUUCAGACGGGGAGCCGAUUCACAGAAUAGUUCACCAACACGUCACGCCUCCCUGAGCCCAGAUCGCUGCAGGUUCACAGAAUCUCCUGUGGGAACCCGGCGAAAGAGCUCCCUCUCCGUGAGUCAGUCUCAUGACUCCUCUCCGCUUCCAUCACAUGGCCUUUCCCGGCACACGUCCAGCAGGUCCAGUCCAUCUCGCAGGAGGGGUUCUGUCGCCUCUCGGACCGUCUCGCCCACCAGAUCCACCCAUUCUCACAGGCACGCCGACUCUGUCUAUUUACAGAACGGUGAGCGUGAUGCUCAGAGGAGGUGCAGCUCGGACUUGAGGAGUCCAUCGCAAGCUUCCUACAAACACAGUUUGGACUCUGAGAAGCUGUACAGGAAUCUGGAGUCUAUCUCACGCAGAGGCUCGUCCGCUAUCCAGCAACACUCAUUUGAAGAAUCCCAGGUGUCUCCUCGAACCAGAACAGCCAUCAACAGCUCGGCCAACACCCGCACUCGCAACAGCCGGCAAGUAUCACCGUGCAGGAACGGCUUCAGUACACACAGCCACACCCCACAAAGGGAGCCCGAGUCUAGAGACAGCAGACCGAGUCCAACUCACGGCUCGUGGCGAGGGUCAUGCCACUCUUUACUCAGCCUCCCACCCUCUCGCGGUUCCUCGUCCAGACGAAGCGCAGACUCCCAGAUGCUCGGUGGUUCCCUUUCACAUGUCGCAAUCACAGAAAGGGACAGAGGCCACGAGAGGAACAAUGAGGUCGGCGGUGACAGAAGCAGGAGUAACAUCAGGCGAGGCAUGGAGGCCUUGCUGAUCUCUGAACCCAAGAAGGCUGCAGUGGAAACAGAAGAGGUGGGGAUGACCAUGGAGGACUACAUUGUCCUGGCUGAUAUUCCAACUAUCCAGCUGGAGUCUGUGGAAGAGUCUCCGGGGAACAGGAGGAGGAACCAGAGUCCCAGCCCCUGCAGGGGCAACAGGCUUCGGGCCGACAGGUACCACGAGGAGAUGGUCACCUACAGUUCAAGACUUGAGUCGGACAAAAGGGGGAGAGUGAGAGAGAGAGGCAGAGACAGGCAAGAGAAAUGUCGGGACGCUGAGAACGGUCGGUCAUCUCGACGAGGGUCAGUCGCAUCGUUUCAUUCACAGGUACCAUGUUAGAGCUGCCGUGUUGUGUAAUGACUGAAUGCAACCCACGUUUGGUAAACCACUGCGUAUGUUACACAUACAGGAAUAUGUCUUGGUGAUUGGUGCGAUAUCAGAAUAAAAUAGAAUAAAAUAAGAAUAAAAAAUAAAAAAUGAACAAUAUACAACAGAUACGUAGAAGACGUAUGUAUGUACAUAUAUUCCCACUGUGCAAAUGUCCUGAGCACGUAAUGUCUGGGUCAGUGGGGGACUUGUUUCAUGAGACCAACUGAUAAGGGGGAGAAGCUGUUUCUGUGGCGUGAGUUCUUGGUCCUGAUGGACCUCAGCCUCCUGCCUGAGGGACGGGGCUCAAAAGGUUUGUGUCCGGGGUGAAAGGGGUCGACUACCAUCUUUCUUGCCCACCUUAGCGUACUGGAGGGACGGCAGAUUGGAGCCGGUCACCCUCUCUGCAGAGCAAAUGAUGCGCCUGCCCUUGUCCUUGGCUGUGGCUGCAGCGUACCAGACCGUGAUGGAGGAGCCGAGGACAGACUCAGUGACGGCCGUGUAGAAGUGCACCACCGCCUUUGGCAGGUUGAAUUUCUUCAGCUAGUUAGGAAGUACAUCCUCUGCUGAGCCUCAUUAGUUAUCGAACUGAUGUUCAGCUCCCACUUGAGGUUGUGGGAUGUGAUGGAGCCCAGGAAAUCAAAGGACUCCACAGUGGUGACGGGGGAAAGUGGGGCUGCGUUCCUGCGGAAAUCCACGACCUUGUCCACUGUCAUUAGAGCGUUGAGCUCCAGGUUGUCACCUCCGCACCACGUCACCAGUUGGUCGAUCUCCGACCUGUAGGCUCGUCCCCACCAGAGGUGUGUCCAAUGAGGGUGGUGUCGUCCAGGAGCCUGGUGGACUGGUGACUCUAGGUGUACAGGCCCAAAUUACUUAAACAGAGCCUGUAGAGCAGUGGCCAAGAGGUACGUAGCAGUGUGGACUGGUACUUCAGUUAGUUCAUUAUAAAUAAAGUUAUGAAUAAGGUAUUUUGAGAAAGCGUUUUGCCCCCAAAAAUUUAUUGUAUGUAUUUUAGCAUGUAGCAAUGAUGGGCUACAUCAAAUCUUUAGAGGAUGGAUUCAAAGAUGCACAGUGAGACACUUACAACUCCCCCAAGGACGCAUGGCCACACACUCGAGACUGACUGCAUGAUCUUCCUGUUGGAGAUGAUACCAACAAAAGCUUGUAACCCUGUAUGUUUACUAUGUUGAAGAGUUCAGACAAUCAAAGUGGAAGACACAAAUCUUCAAAGGUGAAGAAGCGAGCUCCUCUGCAACGCCCGCAGACACAGGUGAGCCCGGUCCCAUGACUUCUCUGCACCUGCACAAAUCCACAGAGUUCGUUGAGGAAAAUGGGUCAUUCAUACUUUUAUUUAUAAAGUUGAUCCCUGUAGAUAGUGUGUAUUUUCUUCUGCUGCUUCAUCUAAGGUGCCCCUCUCAGGCUGGGAAAAAGGCCAUUAGUGAGCACUACACGUUUUAUGUCAGCAUGUUCCUGUGAUUAAUCAUUUUUAGAUGAGUAGACUCGGGAUGUGUCCUGCAGUGUCAGCGCUGGAAUUGUCAUGCCAAAAAGUGUGGAGUCAGCAAACGAAAAGGAAUGAUGACCAAAAAAUGAACAUUUAAAAUGUUAUUCCACUGCUUUGAAUCACAUGCAACUAAUCCAUCGUCGUAGUAGUUCUGAGACCCUGACAUGACAUUUCUAUGAGUACACUUAUACCCUUUGUGACUUCCCCAUUUUAUUUCCUCCCACGCAGUUUGGCUUUCAUGACUCUUUCUUUCUCUCCCCCCCCUUUACGAUAUGCAAUGCGAUACGUGGUUGGUAAGUGUGUUAUUUUCUGCUAACACGCUUUAAUGGCACCUGCUUGGUCUCAUGAUGUAAAUUCACUGUCUCUGUCCUGCUGUUCAAUGUGAUGAUCAAUGUUUGGCAACAUUCACCUCUUCCCUUUUCUUACGUUUCCAUUCUGCUGUGCUCUGAACGUCUGCCUGCCUGUGGUUAUCUCACAGACACAUUCGUCUGCUCUGAGAGUUUCCGUUUCCUCUGCCUUCACAACCAGGCACGAGACAGAAACCUUUCACAGAGCGUAAUCGACAUGCUUUAUUUACAGGCGUUGUUGCUCGCAGGGCUGGAUGUCCAUACUGGAUGCGCAUGGCAGG